CGGCAACAGCUCAAAUUUGAAAUCUGGCUCUUUCAGAGUCCGAGUUGUAAUUUGCAGAGGGUGCUUUGGUGGUAGUUGCGGUCUAAGUUCUUUGGAACAGGACGUCAUAGAGGGUGAGAAUCCCGU
rnacentral:rRNA from 1 species